CCUACGGGAGGCAGCAGUGGGGAAUAUUGCGCAAUGGGCGAAAGCCUGACGCAGCGACGCCGCGUGAGGGAUGAAGGUCUUCGGAUCGUAAAACUCUGUCAGCAGGGAAGAACGGUCACUGUGCUAAUCAGCAGUGAAUUGACGGUACCUGCAAAGGAAGCACCGGCUAACUCCGUGCCAGCAGCCGCGGUAAUACGGAGGGUGCGAGCGUUAAUCGGAAUUACUGGGCGUAAAGCGCUCGUAGGCGGUAUGUCAAGUCAAGUGUGAAAUCCCCGGGCUCAACGGGGGAACUGCCUUGGAAACUGGCAAACUGGAGUGUGUGAGAGGAUAGUGGAAGUCCAGGUGUAGGAGUGAAAUCCGUAGAGAUCUGGAGGAACAUCAGUGGCGAAGGCGACUAUCUGGCACAUAACUGACGCUGAGGAGCGAAAGCGUGGGGAGCAAACAGGAUUAGAUACCCUUGUAGUC
rnacentral:rRNA from 1 species